rnacentral:rRNA from 1 species
UAGCUAAUACCGGAUAACAACACUAGACGCAUGUCUAGAGUUUAAAAGAAUGGUUCUGCUAUCACUCUUGGAUGGACCUGCGGUGCAUUAGCUAGUUGGUAAGGCAACGGCUUACCAAGGCAAUGAUGCAUAGCCGAGUUGAGAGACUGAUCGGCCACAUUGGGACUGAGACACGGCCCAAACUCCUACGGGAGGCAGCAGCC